GCUGUCACACUCACAUGCGCACAUACAGCUGUGAUCACACACACACACACACACACACACACAAACACACACACAAACACACCUCUAAUCCGACUUUAAAGUAAAAGCUGCAUCUAAGAUAAAAAGUGCAUUAUGGUUUGCAUUCGGAAGCAAAGAUUGGUAUAUAUAUAUAUAUGUGUGUGUGUGUGUGUGUGUGUGUGUGUGUGUGUGUGUGUGUGUGUGUGUGUGUGUGUGUGUGUGUGUGUGUGUGUGUGUGUGUGUGUGUGCAUGUGUGUUGGAUACAACUGGAGAUUUUUUGUUGAACAUGGUUCCCGGAGAAUUUGCAUUUGGAAGUUGAGAAGUGUGUGUGUGUAUGUGUGUGUGUGUGUGUGUGUGUGUGUGUGUGUGUGUGUGUGUGUGUGCGCGUGUGUGUGUGUGCGCGUCCGUGUGCAACAGCAUACUCUUUUGGCCAUGGUGCCUGAUGAUUUGCAUCAGGAAGCAUAGCACUGUUUGUGUGUGUGUGUGUGUGUGUGUGUGUGUGUGUGUGUGUGUGUGUGUGUGUGUGUGUGUGUGUGUGUGAGAGAGAGAGAGAGAGAGAGAGAGAGAGAGAGAGAGAGAGAGAGAGAGAGAGAGAGAAACAGAGCUCAGUCUGAAAAGGAAGGAAUCAGAAAGAUGUCUCAUAUUUUAAGUUCUCUUCUGUCAAUCCGUGAGAAUGGCCUCAUCUUUAACCUGCUCGGCUCCAACUGCAGCGCAUCAGCUUGUGCUGUGGUGCAGUUGUACCUGGCUUCUUCAGCUUGUAAAGAAAAAAGGUCCGAAUGGCAGAUUCACAGUUGUGGAGUUGUCUGUGUGGUGCAGGAUAAACAAUUAGAUUCAACGUUUAUACGGCUCUAUUGUGUGAAGAGAGCCAAACUGCUCUGGGAACAGGAGGUGUAUUCACCGUUCACAUACGCAACACCCCGCCCCUUUUUCCACACCUUCCUCAGUGACGAAUGUUGGGCGGGGCUGAACUUUAGCGAUGAGGACGAGGCGAGCCGGUUCCACAAAGCUGUACAGAACUGCAUCAGAAACACUAAAGCUCGUCCUACUUUUGUACGGACGCACAGUCUGGACUCAGCCUCCGGAUGGCUGCUGAGGAACAAACUCAACACCUGUCUGUCUCAGGGCUGCUCUGUGUCCCCCAAAGCUCCAGAGUCUGACCACUCAGAAAUGACCCAAAGUCUUUCUCUGGCAAAGAGGAAAGGACCCCUGCCACCCAUCCCUGUUAGCAAACCCUCAGCCAGGUCUGUGUCUCCUCACCAUGAGCAUGCUACAGGGGGCCUGUCGAUUCCACUCCCUCCAACAUACCCAGCUCCCAAAGCCAACAUCAAUCCAACAGGAGUGAAGAAAAGUGCAAGCUUUUCACCAGGAGGAAAUUCUAGUUAUUCUGUCGAGAAGCAGUUUACUGAUGACACCAGCUGAAGUUACAAUGAGGACGACACACUGCAUUUUUUACGCUGCUGAAAAAUUCAAAUCAAGCUCUUUUUAAAUAUAUAUAUAUAUAUGUUUCAGAUCUCCAUUAUAUGUUCGUUCUUUUGUUGAAUUAAGAGUCUCUGUGGUAUCUGAGAUCACAUGUGAUCGAUGUCCGCUUUAACAAACCCCCAGGUUAAGACUUCUGAAAUCUUCCCAUGUUAAUCAGCAGCUCACAGAUAAAAAAAAUGGAUAUAUUCCCAUGAGUCAGAGAAUGACUUAUCACUGAAGCUGUACUUCACAUGUCUACUCAUGAAGUGAUCUUGUGUCUCAUGGGGAUUCAGGAGAGGACCAGGAGAGGUUUAAUAAUUAAUCAGGCAGAACAUCAAACAUCUGAAGGCCAUGGAAUUCACAUUGUGUCUGUUAGAUCUGUUCAAUUUGUCUUUAUAAUUUCAUGCCCAGGCAACAUGUCCAUGGCUCCAUAUGGCUUAGUGAUGUGAUGGCAUUUGGGCCCAUUAUUCUGUCCACAUGGGGCCCAUAAAUAUUUAUUCAUGGCCUGUUCAUGUGUAAGGCCAACUAUCCCCUAUCCCCACAUGAGCCAUUUAAUCAUAAUGUUUAUUAUCCCUUAUGGAGGUGAAGAUGUGGUCAGCUUCAGGGCCCUCAUGGUUAAGAUUCACAGGAAAUCUGUGCCAAGGAUAUUGUGUGGUGAUUCAUUUAUUCACUGGAUUUUCCCAUAAAUUGUUCAUUUGGAGCUAGAUCCAAAUAGGCGCGGUUAACUCAAAAUGGGUGGGGUUACCUGGAAAUGGGUGGGGCUAGAUCCAAAUGUUUGGGUUUUUUUUUAUCUGUCAGUUUAAUUUCUCUACUCGAUUAUGCUCAUCUUUUGUACUGUCACUGGUUGAUGUCUUAUUUAUAUUUUUUUUAUUCCAUUACAUGACAUUCACUUGUUAUGAACAACUUUUAUAUUGCAGACACACCACAUAAUCUUAACCUAAUAACAAACAUCUUUUUAAAGUUUACAUUUACAUCAUUUGGCAUUUUGUCACUGCUACGCUGGAAUAAACUACUUUUCUUCAUCAAGA